rnacentral:rRNA from 1 species
UACGGAGGAUGCAAGCGUUAUCCGGAUUCAUUGGGUUUAAAGGGUGCGUAGGCGGCUCUUUAAGUCAGUGGUGAAAUCCUGUCGCUCAACGAUAGAAUUGCCAUUGAUACUGAAGAGCUUGAGUUCAGUUGAGGUAAGCGGAAUGUGUAGUGUAGCGGUGAAAUGCUUAGAUAUUACACAGAACACCGAUUGCGAAGGCAGCUUACUAAACUGACACUGACGCUGAUGCACGAAAGCGUGGGGAUCGAACAGG